rnacentral:rRNA from 1 species
AUUGAACGCUGGCGGCAGGCCUAACACAUGCAAGUCGAACGAGAGGCGGACGGGUGAGUAAUGUCUGGGAAACUGCCUGACGGACGGGGAUAACUACUGGAAACGGUAGCUAAUACCGCAUACCAUCGGAUGUGCACAGAUGGGAUUAGCUAGUAGGUGGGGAAACGGCUCACCUAGGCGUCGAUCCCUAGCUGGUCUGAGAGGAUGACCAGCCACACUGGAACUGAGACAAGGUCCAGACUCCUACGGGAGGCAGCAGUGGGGAAUAUUGCAUAAUGGGCGCAAGCCUGAUGCAGCCAUGCCGCGUGUAUGAAGAAGGCCUUCGGGUUGUAAAGUACUUUCAGCGGGGAGGCGUUACCCGCAGAAGAAGCACCGGCUAACUCCGUGCCAGCAGCCGCGGUAAUUC